rnacentral:piRNA from 1 species
UUCAAUAAUAUGUCUAAAGCCUAGAGCCUUC